rnacentral:rRNA from 1 species
UACGAAGGGUGCUAGCGUUGUUCGGAAUCACUGGGCGUAAAGCGCGCGUAGGCGGCUUCUCAAGUCAGGGGUGAAAUCCUUGGGCUCAACCCAAGAAUUGCCUUUGAAACUGUGAAGCUAGAGUGUCGGAGGGGAUAGCGGAAUUGCUAAUGUAGAGGUGAAAUUCGUAGAUAUUAGCAGGAACACCGGUGGCGAAGGCGGCUAUCUGGACGACAACUGACGCUGAGGCGCGAAAGUGUGGGGAUCAAACAGG